rnacentral:lncRNA from 1 species
AAGCCCGAAAGAAGCCUAAACCAAGGAAACAGAGUCGAGAUUCGACAAUAAAGCCCAAUCCCAUAAAGCCCAAGGAUCCACUUUGUUUAAGCUUAGAUUGGGUAAGAUAGAUCAUCGAUGCCAUCAAGAUUGGGAAGCCUUAUGGACCACCGAGACAAUCGGCCUAAAGAAGCAUCGACGAUGACGAGUUGUGGGCUUUCGGAUUGAUCUUAAAAGAUGACAGUAGUGUGUUUGAGAUGACGCACGGAGGGAAGAUACUCAUAUGUGGGUGACCUAAGUCUCCCGGCCCGCUAGGCCCAACACGCGGCCUAGCAAGCCACGCGCUCAAGAAGAACGUGCGGCCCAUGUUGUACGCCCUUGUAGGUGGGCCGACUGAGGUCCAUUGGGAAGGCUCGAAGACCAACUCAUAUCCUGAGCCUAAUCUGAUGG